rnacentral:rRNA from 1 species
GACGAACGCUGGCGGCGUGCUUAACACAUGCAAGUCGAACGGAAAGGCCCUGCUUUUGUGGGGUGCUCGAGUGGCGAACGGGUGAGUAACACGUGAGUAACCUGCCCUUGACUUUGGGAUAACUUCAGGAAACUGGGGCUAAUACCGGAUAGGAGCUCCUGCUGCAUGGUGGGGGUUGGAAAGUUUCGGCGGUUGGGGAUGGACUCGCGGCUUAUCAGCUUGUUGGUGGGGUAGUGGCUUACCAAGGCUUUGACGGGUAGCCGGCCUGAGAGGGUGACCGGCCACAUUGGGACGGAGAGACGGCCCAGACGCCUACGGGAGGCAGCAGUGGGGAAUAUUGCACAAUGGGCGGAAGCCUGAUGCAGCAACGCCGCGUGCGGGAUGACGGCCUUCGGGUUGGAAACCGCUUUCGCCUGUGACGAAGCGUGAGUGACGGUAAUGGGUAAAGAAACACCGGCGAACUACGG